CAGUCGCCACGGGAAUACGUAGGGAGCAAGCGUUGUUCGGAUUUACUGGGCGUAAAGGGCGCGUAGGCGGCGCGGUAAGUCACUUGUGAAAUCUCUGAGCUUAACUCAGAACGGCCAAGUGAUACUGCUGUGCUAGAGUGCGGAAGAGGCAACCGGAAUUCUUGGUGUAGCGGUGAAAUGCGUAGAUAUCAAGAGGAACACCUGAGGCGAAGGCGGGUUGCUGGGCCGACACUGACGCUGAUGCGCGAAAGCCAGGGGAGCAAACGGGAUUAGAUACCCCCGUAGUCCCUGUCUCUUAUAC
rnacentral:rRNA from 1 species